AGAGUUUGAUCCUGGCUCAGGAUGAACGCUGGCGGCGUGCUUAACACAUGCAAGUCGAACGAAGCACUUUAUUUGAUUUCCUUCGGGACUGAUUAUUUUGUGACUGAGUGGCGGACGGGUGAGUAACGCGUGGGUAACCUGCCUUGUACAGGGGGAUAACAGUUGGAAACGGCUGCUAAUACCGCAUAAGCGCACAGCAUCGCAUGAUGCAGUGUGAAAAACUCCGGUGGUAUAAGAUGGACUCGCGUUGGAUUAGCUAGUUGGUGAGGUAACGGCCCACCAAGGCGACGAUCCAUAGCCGACCUGAGAGGGUGACCGGCCACAUUGGGACUGAGACACGGCCCAAACUCCUACGGGAGGCAGCAGUGGGGAAUAUUGCACAAUGGGCGAAAGCCUGAUGCAGCGACGCCGCGUGAGCGAAGAAGUAUUUCGGUAUGUAAAGCUCUAUCAGCAGGGAAGAUAAUGACGGUACCUGACUAAGAAGCACCGGCUAAAUACGUGCCAGCAGCCGCGGUAAUACGUAUGGUGCAAGCGUUAUCCGGAUUUACUGGGUAUAAAGGGAGCGCAGGCGGUGCGGCAAGUCUGAUGUGAAAGCCCCGGGGCUCAACCCCGGUACUGCAUUGGAAACUGUCGUACUAGAGUGUCGGAGGGGUAAGCGGAAUUCCUAGUGUAGCGGUGAAAUGCGUAGAUAUUAGGAGGAACACCAGUGGCGAAGGCGGCUUACUGGACGAUAACUGACGCUGAGGCUCGAAAGCGUGGGGAGCAAACAGGAUUAGAUACCCUGGUAGUCCACGCCGUAAACG
rnacentral:rRNA from 1 species